rnacentral:sRNA from 1 species
UCAGUAGCAGACCUAAUAGGUAAAAAUAUACUCUAAAAAAACUACUUUGAUAUGCAAAAUGUGAUUCUUUUUCAUGAGUGUUUGUCAUUUUUUUGGGUAUAGUCUCGUUGUGUAUGUCGCAUGUUGAAUAUGGGUUGGUGUAAGUCUUGUAUGUUGCAAGUCUCGUGGUGUUUGUUGUAUAUAGCAUGUUAUAGGUCUGUGUUGUAUGUCGUGUUUUAAGUCGUAUGAUAAAUAGCUCGUAGAGUAUUUUGUAUGUCGUGUGUUGUAGGUCUUGUGCUGUAUGUCGUGUUGUCUGUCUUUUGCUGUAUGCCGUGUGUAGUAGGUAUCGUGAUGUAUGUCGUCUUUUGUAAGGCUUGUGCUGUAUGUCGUGUUGUAAGUUUUGUGCUGUAUUUCGCAUGGUAUAUGCCGUGUAUUGUACGUCUUGUGUUGUAUGCCGUGUAUUAUAAGUCUUGAGUUAUAUGCCAUGUGUAUUAAGUCUUGUGUUGUAUGCCAUGUGUAGUAGGUCUUGUGCUGUAUGCCGUGUAUUGUAAGUCUUGUGCUGUAUGCCGUGUGUAAUAGGUCUUGUGUUGUAUGCCGUGUGUAAUAUGUCUUGUGUUGUAUGCCGUGUUGUAAGUCUUGUGCUGUUUGUCGUAUAGCGUGUGUCGUGUUUUUGGUGUAACGGUCAACUUACCUCCAGAGGGUUCACUCUCAUCAACAUGGACUUUACAACUUUUCUUCAUUUUGGAGUUUUCUACAACCAUACAUCUACGAAAAUACAAAGAAGACAACAUAAUAAACAUAAGAUACUUACAUCAUUGUUAACCCAUUCAGAACUUAAGCUCAUUUCUUAUCUUAAAGACAAAAAAGAGAUUUUCAUAUGACAUUCUGAAUUAGGAUGAAUUUAGCAGAUUAGACACAGACGGUAGGACACGUGGUGAAUCGUACGGGAGUUGUCGGUAAAACAGCAGCUUCGCGAUAAAAUCUGCGAGCAGGGUUCUUCGACAGUAUCUACCUCUUCUCCGAUGAAAUAGCAAAUAAAUCAAAUUCAUUUUAAAGUAGGUUUUAAAGCAAAUGCUCAAAAUUGCUUUUUUCAUUUGCAAUUGCAUAACUAAAAAUCUAGAAUAAACCACAAUAUUUGGGGUUUUUUAACAUGCAGCACCUGGUUUGAAUAUGCAAUUACAAAUGCUACGAAUACUUUCGUCUUAACCAAGAUUGAAAAACCAAAAUUGAAAAUCUUCAUUUCUUGGUUAUGAUCAUCACCCAACAGGUUUUUUGUGUUUUGAAUAAAAUUGUUUGAAGUAAACCCAAAAAUACAUUAUCGACACAAUUCUAAAAAAACAAACAAAAGUCGGCAAACGGCCACACAGAACAAAAAAUAAUGGUUGUGUAAU